rnacentral:lncRNA from 1 species
AGGAGAGUUCAUCCAAACGAAAACUGGAGGGACAUAUAUCUUGAAGUUACCUUCUGAAAAGAUCUUAGAGCUAGAAAAUUAUUAUCAUAUGAUUAUGAUCAUUAGAAACAUUGUAUCUAUACUCUUGUUAUUAUGACAAAGUUUUGAAAUAAAUAUAAAGGGCAAUGGUUGCUCAAUUUCAAUUUCUAAUGAAGUUUUCUGUCAUGGCAUUUUGGAUAAUGGUCUUUUGGUUCUUUCUCUUAAUGAUAAUAUUUUUCAUAUUGAUGAA